UACGGAGGGGGGCUAGCGUUGUUCGGAAUUACUGGGCGUAAAGCGCACGUAGGCGGCUUUGUAAGUUAGAGGUGAAAGCCCGGAGCUCAACUCCGGAAUUGCCUUUAAGACUGCAUCGCUUGAAUCAUGGAGAGGUGAGUGGAAUUCCGAGUGUAGAGGUGAAAUUCGUAGAUAUUCGGAAGAACACCAGUGGCGAAGGCGACUCACUGGACAUGUAUUGACGCUGAGGUGCGAAAGCG
rnacentral:rRNA from 1 species